UCGGGUCGUAGUUUCUUCUGACCAUCCUGUGUGACAUACCUAUACGUUGCCUCGGCGGAUCAGCCCGCGCCCCGUAAAAAGGGACGGCCCGCCCGAGGACCCCUAAACUCUGUUUUUAGUGGAACUUCUGAGUAAAACAAACAAAUAAAUCAAAACUUUCAACAACGGAUCUCUUGGUUCUGGCAUCGAUGAAGAACGCAGCAAAAUGCGAUAAGUAAUGUGAAUUGCAGAAUUCAGUGAAUCAUCGAAUCUUUGAACGCACAUUGCGCCCGCCAGUAUUCUGGCGGGCAUGCCUGUUCGAGCGUCAUUUCAACCCUCAAGCUCAGCUUGGUGUUGGGACUCGCGGUAACCCGCGUUCCCCAAAUCGAUUGGCGGUCACGUCGAGCUUCCAUAGCGUAGUAAUCAUACACCUCGUUACUGGUAAUCGUCGCGGCCACGCCGUAAAACCCCAACUUCUGAAUGUUGACCUCGGAUCAGGUAGGAAUACCCGCUGAACUUAAGCAUAUCAAUAGGCCGGGAGGAA
rnacentral:rRNA from 1 species